UCGAAGGUAGCAUAAUCAGUAGUCUUUUAAUUGAAGGCUGGAAUGAAUGGUUGGAUGAGAUAUUAACUGUUUCAUUUAAAUUUUUUAUAAAAUUUUAUUUUUUAGUUAAAAAGCUAAGAUUUUAUUAAAAGACGAGAAGACCCUAUAAAUCUUUAUAUUUUUUAUAUAUUAAUUAUUUAGAUAUUUUAAAUUAUUAUAAUAAAAAAUAUUUUAUUGGGGUGAUAUUAAAAUUUAAAAAACUUUUAAUUUUUAAUAAACAUAAAUUUAUGAAUAAUUGAUCCAUUAUUAAUGAUUAAAAAUUUAAGUUACUUUAGGGAUAACAGCGUAAUUUUUUUGGAGAGUUCAUAUCGAUAAAAAAGAUUGCGACCUCGAUGUUGGAUUAA
rnacentral:rRNA from 1 species